GCCGGUGUUUCUCCCAUCACAGCAUCAUUUGAGACAGUCUCUGCCCUGAAGGGGGUAGUAGCCUGGCCAGUGGACAGGAUGCAACACAGUGGAUAAGAAAAGGAAGCUGCCCUCUUCUUUCCAGCUCCCCAGGCGGCCCAAGCUUGGUGCCCAGCCUUGCUUUGUCAAUCAUAUCUGGCCAAAGCUGAUCCAACAGCUCACCGGUAGAGCACCAAGAGGCUAGCGGUAGCUCUUUCAGUGAUAACCAGAAAAAAAAAUAAAAAAACACAAAGUUUCCUUUAAACAAGAGGUGUUUUAACGUUUCAGGGGAAGCUGAUGAUUGAUCCUGGGUUGUUCAUGCAGGAAACAUCGUCUGUGUACAAACCAAGCAUCUCUGUUUUGAGUUGCUAGGAUUGGAGACUUUGAAUGAAUGCAAAAUCAGUGCCAGUCUGAACUCUCAGCAUAUUUCCUUGAGUUCAAGGAAACUAGCUCAGGAGGUAAGAAGUUAUGUUCUUAAGCUCUUCUCUGGCACUUCUUAGCAUAAAAGACUUAUGACUUUCCCCUUACGACUUUCAAGCAACUGCUCAAAAAAAGAGAGAUACCUGUUGUGUGGGAGUUUUUGUCGAGGAGUUGGAGACAAGAGUUUGAGAGUUUUUGUUGGAAAAGUCCCUGUUGCCCUGCGUUUGACAACAAGCAUUCUUUACUUACAGGAGCAGGAUUACUUACAGGCAGGGAAAAGAGAUGGGUGUGAGCCCAAAAGUAGAUUUCAUGUUGUUGUUGAACAUCUGCAGGGCAGCCACUAGAUGGCGCUGAGAGUUGGGCACAAUGACACAAACCGUAGUGACUUCCAAAGGAAAAGCACAUGUCCCUGUUAGGAAAAUGCAGUGUCAGUGUGAAACUUUUACUUCCUUCUCCAUCUGUUGUUUUCUAUUCUUCCAUGUGUUCUUUUUCACUCUCUCCUUUCUCUUAUGGUGUAAACGUUUUUAUGGUCCCUUGACAUCGCACAUCUCCAAAUGAUGAGUACCUGACUGGAACCUGUUACUGUUUUUUCCUCCUUUUCACCAUCCUGCCCAAGCAGUUUUCAAAGAGAAAGGCAACAGUUGUUAAACUGAAUUCCAAUGAGCCAGCCAAAAAAAAAAUAGGUCUAAAUUGCUAGUCCCAAUAGAACCGCCUCAUCCUGAAAUAGAUGAGGAACAAACAGUGUGUCCAACUGAUUUGGGCUGAAGACCAAUGGAUGCCGUUUUUAAAAUAAUGUUUUGGUGAGAGUGGAUCCUGAGAGUCAGCUGAUGGAGUGCAAGCCAUUUUUUCCCUCUGACAUGCUCUGUGACCUCAGCCAGGUGGCUGAGCCUCUCUGUUCCUCUUUGCCUUGUAUGUAAGAUCGAGCUGUUUUUUAUCUGCUUCAUAACACAAUGGGGAGGUGCCAUGGAUCCUUGGCUGCAGAUACUUUGAAACCCAAACAUAAAGGCCAAGUCAGUGGACCUAUUGGAAGUCUUACUUUCCAGCUUGUGGUUGUAAGUCAUCUCAAAAGAAACCAAGCAGUCAAGUCCAAGAGUGUGGAAACAUGAGGCAUUGUUGUACAGCUAUUAGAUUCGGAGUCAGGGAGACUGCCAGGGAGCUAUUCUGUCAACAUCAGGAGAUGCAACACAGCCAAGGGCCAGAGAAAUCAGAACUCCUUUGUAUAAAGCCCCAAGUUCCCACCUAGGUGUGAUGUGACUUGCAGCUUACUGCACCCCAGUGUGAUUGAAAUGGCUUAUAAAUAAGACAACAUGAACAGCUGAUAUGACUGUUUCACAUAGCCCAGUGACUCUCUGCCUAAACUGCACACACCCUGCAUGAUGGAAACUUUAAAUUUAUUUCACAGCAGUAUUUCUUUUGAUACAACUGAUAUGUGCAACUCAUGGUCAAUGAAAUAGGGAAACCAUGUUGAAAAGUUGGUUACCUCCCAUGGAGCAAAGACUGGCUGAAGGUAAUGUAGAUCACUGGGCACAUGGAUAUUAAUGCUCACCAGGCACUUACAAGUUUAUUUUCCAGAUGAAAACGUGCUUUAAGAGCCUGUCUACUUAGAUGGGCUGCACCAUUUUCUGAGUGUCAGUUUAUUUACAGCAAUUGCUGGAUUUUGAGAUGGUUCUAGAAACAUGGAGAUUCCUCCCAUCUUAUAGGCCAAGAAACAGUUCUCAAUGUCACUGUUUCUAAGUUUUGUUUUGUCAGGUAUUUUGGGUUUGAUUUUUUUUUUUUUUUCAGUGAACAUGGUGAACUGCAGAGGUUGAAGUUGUGAAAAGGUUGGGCUGAUAUUCUUUCUGUAAAGUCAAUUAGGCUUUCUGUCCCUGUGAAAUAACCAGGAAAUUUCACUCUCUAAAAGCAACAGCAUGUAAACUAGAAUGAAAGAAGGAAAUUAUGUAUGUAUGCCUACUCUUCUUUGUGAAUGUCCUUCAUUUAAGUAAAAUUAUAUUAGAAACCAGAUUGAUAAAUAAAAAAGUCCAAAAUAGUUUUAAUUAUCCUUAAA